UCUGGGAAAAUUAAAUACACUUGGUUUUGCUUUAGAGUCAAUAUAGACAUCUUUAUUAAAGAGAGAAAAUAUUGUUGUGUGUGUUUAUAAUAAUAUAAGUUUGUAUGAAUGAUGGUGACAUGUGUAGAACAGCAGCUCCUGACUGGUUCAGUGUGUUUGCAUAUGUGUGCUGCCUCUCUGCUUCCAGCAGUUAAAGCUCAGUGUUGAUCAGUGGCUGUCCAGACCUUUCAGAGACUCGGACUCGCCCGCAGCACAAUGAUGAUGUCACUGACUCUGCUGCUCUUCACCCUGGAGCUCCUGGUUCAGGCUUCAUCAGAAGAACUGCUGACUCAGACUCCCGGAGCUCUGUCUGUAGUUCAAGGACAGACUGUCUCCAUCAGAUGUAAAUCUAGUAGAAGUAUUAGCUACCACUUCAACUGGUAUCUUCAGAAACAAGGAGAAGUUCCCAAGUUUUUAAUUUAUGCUACAAGCAAUCGUCAGUCUGGAGUUUCUGAUCGUUUCAGUGGAUCAAGCUCUGGAUUAGAUUACACUCUGACCAUCAGUGGAGUUCAGCCUGAAGAUUCAGGAGUUUAUUACUGUGAGACUGGCUAUGACAUCAACAGUCAGUCUUUUGUAUCACUGUGGUGGACUUUUGGUGGAGGAACCAGACUGGAGUUUGGAAGUGAUGCCCCGCCCUCCCUGACCGUGCUCCUCCCCUCCACGAAGGAGCUGCAGCAGGGGAAGGCCACACUCAUGUGUGUGGCCAACAAGGGCUUCCCCUCAGACUGGACUCUGUCCUGGAAGGUGGACGGCUGCAUUAAGAGCAGCAACUGGGAGGAGAGCAGGAGCCCUGGGGUGCUGCAGAAGGACGGCCUCUACAGCUGGAGCAGCACCCUGAGGCUCUCUGCAGACCAGUGGGAGAAGGUGACCUGUGAGGCCAAGAGAGGAUCCCAGACUGCAGUCUCAGAGACUCUCAGGAGAGACCAGUGCUCCCAGUCCUGAAACAUUCAGACUUUACAGUCUUUUCUUUGAGAUGUCCUUCAAUCUUUUUCUUUAUCUUUUUUUCUUCAAGCUGUUUCUGAAUUGUUAAUUUUUUCUGCUGUGACCUUUUCAGGAACUGAAAAACAGGUUUUUUUAUUUGCAUCAAUAAAAAUAAAAUGAUUUUCAAAUGUUUAAAUUGUUGACCUUUUCAUCUCUUUUCAGAAUAUGAUUAGAUAGAGACAAAAACAUGUUAAAGAUCACGUUUCACAUUGUCCUCAAUAGAAGUGUCACUACCAGAAAUAGCCACAAGAGGGAGACAGAGUGGUGGGGAUCUGACAAAAAGUUUAAAAAUGAUGUUGAAUUUUAUAAAUUUUUGUUUAAAAGAGCAAAAAAAAAAAAAAAAAAAA